UACAGAGGGUGCAAGCGUUGUUCGGAAUUACUGGGCGUAAAGCGCGUGUAGGUGGCGAGAUAAGUCGGGUGUGAAAUCCCUUGGCUUAACCAAGGAAGUGCAUUCGAUACUGUUUCGCUUGAGUAUCGGAGGGGUCGGCGGAAUUCCCGGUGUAGAGGUGAAAUUCGUAGAUAUCGGGAGGAACACCUGUGGCGAAGGCGGCCGACUGGACGAUCACUGACACUGAGACGCGAAAGCGUGGGUAGCAAACAGG
rnacentral:rRNA from 2 species